rnacentral:rRNA from 1 species
GACGAACGCUGGCGGCGUGCUUAACACAUGCAAGUCGAACGGUAAGGCCUUCGGGUACGACGAGUGGCGAACGGGUGAGUAACACGUGGGUGAUCUGCCCUGCACUUCGGGAUAAGCCUGGGAAACUGGGUCUAAUACCGGAUAGGACCAUGGACUUCACGGUUUGUGGUGGAAAGCUUUUGCGGUGUGGGAUGGGCCCGCGGCCUAUCAGCUUGUUGGUGGGGUAAUGGCCUACCAAGGCGACGACGGGUAGCCGGCCUGAGAGGGUGUCCGGCCACACUGGGACUGAGAUACGGCCCAGACUCCUACGGGAGGCAGCAGUGGGGAAUAUUGCACAAUGGGCGCAAGCCUGAUGCAGCGACGCCGCGUGAGGGAUGACGGCC